CAGGUCAUGCAGUUCAGCUCCCACUUGAAGCAGGACCACUGACAACAAUAGAUCAGGAUGCCUGCAGCUUUAUCUUACUGAGCUUCAAGUACCACUCUAAAGAUGGAAGUUUUUCUUCAGUUGCUCUGGUCUUUGUGUUCAUGUGAUUAGCCUUCACUCACAAACCAUGGAUAAGCAUUCAAAAAAAAUCAUGAGAUACAUCACAGUGAACUGUUGCCACUACAAAAAAAAAAAUAAAAUUGAUUGAUACAAUAAAGAGCUUAGCAGGCUUGUUUUAGAUGGCAUGCCUAGAAAGGAUUUUAUCCCAAAGGCACAGAGAGUGCAGAGGAAAAUGAAUCAGUGGAGAAUAUUCUGAAAUGGAGCUUCAUUUAGAGGAUUCAGCAAUAAACUCAAGGGUUUUUUUAUUUAGAUA